rnacentral:rRNA from 1 species
GACGAACGCUGGCGGCGUGCUUAACACAUGCAAGUCGAACGGAAAGGCCCUGCUUUUGUGGGGUGCUCGAGUGGCGAACGGGUGAGUAACACGUGAGUAACCUGCCCUUGACUUUGGGAUAACUUCAGGAAACUGGGGCUAAUACCGGAUAGGAGCUCCUGCUGCAUGGUGGGGGUUGGAAAGUUUCGGCGGUUGGGGAUGGACUCGCGGCUUAUCAGCUUGUUGGUGGGGUAGUGGCUUACCAAGGCUUUGACGGGUAGCCGGCCUGAGAGGGUGACCGGCAACAUGGGGACUGGGAUACGGCCCAGACUCCUACGGGGGGAAGCGGGGGGGAAUUUGGCAACAGGGGCGGAGGCCGGAUGCAGCACCGCCGGGUGGGGGAUGACGGCCUUCGGGUGGAAAACCGUUUUCCCCUGUGACGAAGGGGGGGGGGCGGAAAUGGGAAAAGAAGCACCGGCUAAUUACGG